UUUGGUAACGUAGCUGAUACGUGUAAUUCAUGCUGCCAUCAGCACCCAUGCUGAUGUCAUUGACCACUGCCGGCUCUGAUAAACUUGUUGAUGUCAAUGAAAGGGCCUGACAAGAAUGUCUAUUGGUUCUAUAAGCCAUGUUGAUUCAUGUGGUCCUUGAUAUCAUGGGAUAACUUCUUGAUUGCCAUGACAUCUGUGGCCUCUUAUGACCAUAUUAAUGUAAGUAUUUUUUGUUGCCAAUAUAAAGAAUGUAAAUUUACAAGAACAAUAAUACAAACUGAAACUAAGUUGAUACCUGGAAUACUUGCUGUCACCUCCAAACAAAUUGAAUUCAUUCAUCACUGCUGCAUCUGUUAAAUAUGCAGAUGUCCAUGAGCAGACAUAUCAUGCUAUUCCUACUAUUUCUGGAAGCCACAUUGAUGCUAGGGUGUUUCUUGCCCAUGGACCUGUUGUUGAUGUUUAUUUGUCCUGCUACCUGAGACCAUGUUGAUGCAAGAGUUCUGUUUUUCCAACGUGAAGAAUGUUAAUUUCCCUGAUGUCAACUACCAUAGUAAACUAUGUGGCUAUCCAUUAUAUGUGCUGCCACCUGAUACCUAGUGGAUUUACUUGAUCCCUGCUGCUUCUGUUACCCAUAUGGAUGUCCAUGAUUGGAACUAUAAUGCUUUUCCUACUACUUCUGGUAGCAGUGUUGAUGCUCAUGGUCUUGUAAACCACUGGACACCAUGUUAAUUUCCAUGAUCUCUGGUGCUACAGGUGAUGAUUUUAAUGUAUGUGUUCCUUGUUGCCAAAGGAUAGAAUGGUAAUUUCCAAGAUUUAACCAACUUUUGGUAACUAAGUUGAUACACAUAACUCAUGCUGCCACCUGCAGCCAUGUUGAAGUCAUUGAUCACUGACGCCUUUGCAAACCCACCUGCAGCCAUGUUGAAGUCAUUGAUCACUGACGCCUUUGCAAACCCUGCUGAUAUUAAUGAAUGGAGUUCCCCUGCAUUCCUAUUGGUUCUGUAAGCCAUGUUGAUGCAGAUGGUCCUUUAUACCAUGGGUUAUCAUCUUGAUUGCCAUAAAUUCUCUAGCCCCUUAUGGCCAUAUUAAGGCAAGUGUUCCUUUUUGGCAAUAUGUAGAACUUAAUUUCUAAGAGUUAACAAGCAUGAGCCACUAAGCAAAUAUCCAAUUCAUGCUGCAACCUCCAACCAUGCUGAUGUCAAUGACACCCGUUGCCACUGUUAACCCUGUUGAUGUCUAUGAAUUCACCUCCAAUGUAUUCCUCUUGUUUCUGUAAGCCAUUUUGAUGAAUGUGGUCCUUGUUACCAUGGGAUAACAUUUUGACUGCCAUGACCUCCUUGGCCCCUUAUGACCACAUUGAUCGAAGUGUGCUGUGUUGCCAAUGUAAAGAAUGUGAAUUUUGAAGAAUUGAAAUAAAGAAUGAAUCCAAGUUGAUAUCCAGAGUAUUUGCUGUCACCUCCAAACUAAUUGAAUUAAUUUAUCCCUGCUGCAUCUGUUAAAAAUGUGGAUGUCCAAGAAUGGACAUACCAUGCUAUUCCUACUAUUUCUGCAAACCACUUUGAUGGCAGGGUUCUUUCUUGCCCAUGGAUCUGAUGUUGAUAUCUAUCUGUCCUCCUAACUGACAUUGUGCUGGUACAAGAGUUCUGUCUUUCCAUCAUUAAGAAAGUUAAUUUCUCUGAUAUCAACUACCAAAGUAAACUGUGUGGCUAUUCAUUCUACAUUCUGCCACCUGAAACACUGUGGAUAUAAUAUAUCCCAACUGCUUCUGUGAACCAUGUGGCUGUCCAUGAUUGGAGGCACAAUGCCAUUCUUAUUACUUCUGGAAGCAAUGUUGAUGCUCAUUAUCUUCUUACCACUUGGCACCAUGCUUAUUUCUAUGAUCUCUCCUGCUACAAGUCACCACCUUAAGUGUUUGUUGUUGCCAAUGUAUAGAAUGGUAAUUUCCAAGAUUUAACUAACUUUUGGUAACUAAGUUGAUACACACAAUUCAUUCUGCCAAGUGCAGCCAUGCUGAUGUCAUUGAUCACUGCUGCCUUUGCAAACCCUAUUGAUAUUAAUGAAUGGAGCUCCCAUGCAUUCCUAUUCAUUCUGUAAGCUAUGAUGAUGCAUGUGGUCUUGUUACCAUGGGAUAACACCUUGAUGGCUUUGAAUUGUCUAUCCCCUUAUGACAUUAUUAAUGUAAGUAUUCUGUGUUGGCAAUAUGAAGAAUGUAAUUUUCAAGAUUGAAACACCAAUAGAAACUAAGAUAGUAUCCUAAAGACAUGCUGCCACCUCCAAAUAAAUUGAGGCCUUUAAUCCCAGCUGAGUCUCUUAAACAUGUGCUUGUCCAUGAUUGGCACUACAAUGCUAUUCCUACUCCUUCUGGAAGCAAUGUUGAUGCUCAUGAUCUUCUUACCACUGGACACCAUGGUGACUUGCAUGAUCUCACCUGCUACAAGUGACCAUAUUAAGGACCUGCCGGGCAUUCCCUUGGUUCUACAAGCCAUGUUGAUGCAGGUGCUCCUUGUUUUAAUGGGAUAACAUCUUGAUUGCCAUGACGUCCAUGGACCCUCAUGGCCAUAUUAAGGUAAGUAUACAUUUUUGCCAACAUGAGGAAUGUAAAUUUACAUCAACUGAAAUACCAAAUGAAGCUAAGUUGAUAUCCAGAAUACUUUUUGCUGCCUCCAUAUAAAUUGAAUUCAUUUAUCCCUGCUGCAUCUGGUAAACAUGUGGAUGUCUACGAUCCAUUGUCUUAUGGAAUGUCUGGCAUUACUAAAAGCCAUGUGGAUGCCUGUGGUCCUUCUUGCCAGUAUAUUCCAUAUAGAUUUCCUUGAACUCUUGCCACCUGUGACAAUGUUAAUGUUAAGUGUUCUGUGUUCUCAAUGUGAAGAACAUUAAUUUCCAAGAAUUUAACCACCAACUGAAACUAUGUUGAUAUACAGAAUACAUGGUGCCACCUCCAAACAUGUUGAAGUCAUUGAUCCCUUCUGCCUCUGUUGGACAUAUUGGUGUUUAUGAUUCUAAUUAUAAUAUUCCUAGCACAUUUGAAAUCCAUGAUGAUGCCCAUCAUAUUUGUACCAGUGGAUACCAUAUUGUGUUUUGUGAUCUCUCCUGCUGUCUUUACCUUGUUAAAUUAAAUGUUCUCUCACCAACAUGAAGAAUAUUAAGUUCCAAGUUUUAAUGGUUGAAAUGUUAAGUUCCAAGAUUUUGGUAAUCUUGGAAACUAAUUUUAUAUCCAUAAUUCUUGGUGUCAUCUGAAUCUGUGGUCAUUUUAUUGAUCCCUCUUGUCUCUGUUAACCAUGUUGAUGCCUAUGAUCAGAACUUCCAUGCUAUUCUUAUUCCUUCUGGAAGCCAUGUUGAUUCCCCUGCUCCUUGUUAUCUCUGGAUAACGUCUUGAUAUUGGUGACCUGUGUGGUCAAUUAUGACCAUAUUAAGAUAAAUUUUCUGUUAUUCCAACAUGAACAAAGUAAAUUUCCAAGAAUUCAACUACCAUCUGAAACUAAGUUAUUAUCCAUAAUUCAUGCUGCUGUCUAUAAACAUGUUGAUGCCAUUGUUUCCUGCUCCUUCUUAACGGUUUUGAUGUUCAUGAUCAGACAUUCCAUGGUAUUCCUACUACUUCUGGGAGGCAUGUUAAUGACGAUGGUUCUUCUUGUUGCUCAAUAUGAAGUUUAUAUCUAUCUUUCCUGCCAUUAUUUUGUGAAUGAGAAAAAUGUUAAUUUUCAAGAUUUAAUGUGCAGUCUGAAAAUAAGUUGAUAUCUAUGAUUCAUGCUGCCACAUGUGACCAUGUUGAUGUCAUUGAUCCAACUCUGUUAAUCAAAUUGAUGUCUAACAUAGGCCAUCAUGCUAUUCCUGCUUCUUCUGGAAGCCAUGUAGAUGCCCGUGGUCCUUCUUAACCACUACAUACAUUGUUGAUGUCCAAUAACUCUCCUGCCCCUUGUGACUGCAUUAAAAUAUUGUUCUGUGUUAACAACAUGCAGAAUGUUAAUUUGCAAGAUUUAACCCACCAUCCAAAUGUAAGAUGAAAUCCAUAAUUCAUGAUGCCACCUGAAACCAUGCUGAUGCCAUUGAUCCCAUGUGCCUCUGUUAACCAAAUUGAUGUCCAUUAUUGAAUGACCUACCAUGUUCUUCCUACUAUUUCUGGAAGCCUUGUUGAUGCUUGUGGUCUUUCUUACUGUUGAUAUGACAUUGAUGUCCAUAUCAAUGGAGAUAUUCUUCUACCCGAGACCCUAUUGAUGAAAGAGUUCUGUGCUGCCAACGUGAUGAAUGUUAAUUGCCAUGAUCUCAGCUACCAUCUGAAACUGGUGAUAUUUACAUGCUAUCACCUGCAACCUUGUUGAUGACAUUAAUGCCUGCUGUUUUCUUUAUCAUGUUCAUGAGCCUUACUAUGCUAUUCCUAUUGGUUUGAAGUCCAUGUUGAUGCCUUACGGUACAUUUUCCUCCUGGAUAACAUGUUGAUGUUAAUGGUCUGACCUGCCACCUGAGACUAUGCUGAGGUAAGUUUUCUGUGUUGCGAACAUGAAGAAUAUUGAUUUCCAUGAGUUAACCUGCCAUUGGAACUUAAGUUGAUAUCUGUAAUUCAUUCUGUCCCUGGAACCAUGUUGAGACCACUGAUCCUUGCUUCUUUUGUUUAUCAUGUUGAUUACCAUGAUCUGACUUCCCAUGCUGUCCCUACUGCUUCUGGAAGCCAUGUUGAUGCCUGUGGUUCUUGGUGCCCCUGAAUAUGAUGUUGAUGUUGAUGUUCUGUUCUGACUCCUGAAUCCAUGCUGAGGCCACCACAUUGAUGUCACUGAUCCUUGCUGCAUGUUUUAACUAUGUUGAUAUCCAUGAGCCAAUCCUCCAUUCAAAAUUAUGUUGAUGACAUGGAUCUUUCCUACUUCUGCUAUGUUGCUGCCCAUGAUCUGCCCUACCAUUCAACCCCUAAUGCUUCAGGAAGCCAUGGUGAUGCCUGCGAUCCUUGUUUCCCCUGGAUGCGAUGUUGAUGCCCAUGUUCUGUCCUACCACCUGAGACCACAUUGAGACACAGGCAACCAUGUUGAUGUGACUGAUUUUUGCUGCCUCUCCUAAUGUUACUUAUAUCCAUGAUUUGACAUGUGAUCUGAAACUUUGUUGAUGUCACUGAUCUUUGCUGUUGCUGUCAACCAUGUUGAUGCUACUGAAACUUGCUUCCACUUGUAACCAUACUGCUGUCUCUAGUCUGUUAUCAUCUGUGACAAUUCUGAAGUCAAUGGUAUAUACUACCACCUGAGACCCACUUCAGGAAACCAACCACGUUGAUGUCACUGAUCUUUGUUCCCUGUUUUGACCAUGUGGAUGUCCAUUAUCUGACUUAACAUCUGAAAUUAUGUUGAUGUCACUCAUUCAUGCUGCCGCUGAUAACCAUGUUUAUGGCCAUAAUCUUUGUUAGAAUCUUUGACCUUGUGGCUGUCGAUUGUCCAUGUUGCCACCUGAGUCCAUGAUUACAACCAUGAUGACUGUAGUCUGUGCUGCUGCCAGCCAUCAUGUCAAUGUCUCUGAUCUGUGCUGUUGCUGGGGACUGGGUCAAUAUGAGUGAUCUGAGCUGCCAACAGAAACUAUUUUGAUAUCAUUAAGCCAUCCUUGUGCUGGAGACCAUGUUGACAUCUUUGUCCUUACUGCCACCAAAAACUAUGUUUAUGUUCAUGCUCUGGGCCGCAUACUAAAGACCAGUUGGAUAUCCAUGACCCAGCUGCUGAUGGAGACUGUGUCGAUGUCUGUGGUCGGUACUGCCACAAGAAGACAUCCUGAUAGUGAUCUGUGAUGCCUCCCUCAAACAUGCUAUGUGGUGAUCUGUGUUGAUGUCAUGGACCAGAUGGAUGUCAGUUAUCCAAGCUGUCACCACAAAACUUGUGGACCAUGAUCUGUGCUGCUGCUAGAAACCCUGUAGAAGUCUAUGAUCCAUUGGGCUGCUAGAAAGCAUGUGGAAGUCCUUGAUCUGUACUGCCACUGACUUCUAUGGGCAAAGAGCUUCUUUUGCAGUAGUAUCAAUAACUGUAGAAUCAUAACUGAAAUUCAGACGGACAUUGAAGGCUUCUGUGCCACAAUCCCCCCUAAAAAGAAAAUCUAGACAGGAUCUUAUUGGAGAGUCCUUGGAAAUCAUAAUAAAUAUACUUAACUGUAGCUCUUCACAGUUGAUGGCUUUAGGCAGGGGUUGGGGAAGAACUCCUUUUGAAGAGGCUGGACACAGCAAGAUUGACCAUGCUCUAAUGAGUAUAAGGAUAACACCAAUUGGACUUGUUAUAUUGUAUUUUUGCUAUUCUGGGGGAGGAUGCCACAAGGGUGGAAGAGUGAACCUGGCAAGAAUGGGAAUCAAGUGUG